GUGGGGAAUUUUGCACAAUGGGGGAAACCCUGAUGCAGCGACGCCGCGUGGAGGAUGAAGGCCUUCGGGUUGUAAACUCCUUUUGUAGGGGAAAAUAAUGAUGGUACCCUAUGAAUAAGCCACGGCUAACUCUGUGCCAGCAGCCGCGGUAAGACAGAGGUGGCGAGCGUUGUUCGGAAUUACUGGGCUUAAAGGGCGAGUAGGCGGUGGGACAAGUCUGAUGUGGAAUCCUAAGGCUUAACCAUAGAACUGCAUUAGAAACUGUUUUACUUGAGUCAGUGAGGGGAGGGCGGAAUUCCUGGUGUAGCGGUGAAAUGCGUAGAUAUCAGGAGGAAGGCCGGUGGCGAAGGCGGCCCUCUGGCACUGUACUGACGCUGAGGCGCGAAAGCGUGGGGAGCAAACAGGAUUAGAAACCCGAGUAGUCC
rnacentral:rRNA from 1 species